rnacentral:rRNA from 1 species
CCUACGGGUGGCAGCAGUGGGGAAUAUUGGGCAAUGGGCGCAAGCCUGACCCAGCAACGCCGCGUGAAGGAAGAAGGCUUUCGGGUUGUAAACUUCUUUUCUCAGGGACGAAGAAAGUGACGGUACCUGAUGAAUAAGCCACUGCUAACUACGGGCCAGCAGCCCCUGUAAUACGUAGGUGGCAAGCGUAAGCCGGAUUUAUUGGGUGUAAAGGUCGUGUAGGAUGGAGCGCAAGUCAGAUGGGAAAACUCAGGGCUCAAACCUGAGCCUGCAUUUGAAACUGUGUUUCUUGAGUGCUGGAGAGGCAAUUGGAAGUCCGGGUGUAGCGGUGAAAUGCGGAGAUAGACGGAGGAACACCAGUGGCGAAGGCGGAUUGCUGGACAGUAACUGACGCUGAGGCGCGAAAGCGUGGGGAGCAAACAGGAUUAGAUACCCUUGUAGUA